GAUGAACGCUGGCGGCGUGCCUAAUACAUGCAAGUCGAGCGAACAGACGCGGCGCUUGCUCCUCUGACGUUAGCGGCGGACGGGUGAGUAACACGUGGAUAACCUCCCUAUAAGACUGGGAUAACUUCGGGAAACCGGAGCUAAUACCGGAUAAUAUAUUGAACCGCAUGGUUCAAUAGUGAAAGACGGUUUUGCUGUCACUUAUAGAUGGAUCCCCGCCGCAUUAGCUAGUUGGUAAGGUAACGGCUUACCAAGGCAACGAUGCGUAGCCGACGUGAGAGGGUGGUCGGCCACACUGGAACGGAGACACGGUCCAUGCGCCUACGGGAGGCAGCAGAAGGCAAUCUUCCGCAAUGGGCGAAAGCCUGACGGAGCAACGCCGCGUGAGUGAUGAAGGUCUUCGGAUCGUAAAACUCUGUUAUUAGGGAAGAACAAAUGUGUAAGUAACUAUGCACGUCUUGACGGUACCUAAUCAGAAAGCCACGGCUAACUACGUG
rnacentral:rRNA from 1 species